UAAAUCUUUCAUUAAAUUUUAUAAAAUUAUUGUUAUGUCUUUAAAACUGAAUUGGAGUAAUCUUCAAGAAACUCUAUUGGUUGGACACUUUUAAUGGUCAUAGAUUCUAUAAGAAACCUUCAAUACUAGUCAACAAUAAAUUAUCCUCGCCCGUUAAUAUCUUCCAAGGAUAUGGUAAAAAAGGCUAACCUGAAAUGCUGUUAUACGUUAUAGGAACACCAGCAACAUAUCACCCCAUAGGUAUCAACAACAAUAAUAACCUUUGGAACAUCCUUCACAGAAAAAUCUUUUCCAAUAUCACUUAAGUGAUGUUUCCACAAACAAAACUUCUUGUAUAUGUAUAAUGGCUACAAAACUGAAUUCAAUCAAUCAUAAAGGAACACUUUUUGUUGGACACUCUUAAUGGUCUAAGAUAUUUUAGCCAAAGUUCAGUACCCGUCAGCUUUGAAAUACCCACUAAGGUUCUGGUAAACAUUUUCGACCUAUCUACCAGCUUAAUGGAACACCAGCAACAUGCCAUCCGCUAAAAGUAUCAAAUUCACUCAAGUGAUGUGUCCAUGGGCAAAACUUUUCCAAAAAUAAAAUCUCACAAUUUUUAUGGAUACCUUUGGCUGUUUUCAAUACCCUGCAGUGGACUGCCUAUACGUACAUUUAUAUUCUCUAGCAUUAACUUAAGAAAGUAUUAAUAGUGUAUUAAAAGUGUAUUUUUCUUAAUAAAUAAUG